ensembl:lncRNA
CAAGUCACUGCUACAGGCAGAAGGAAACACCUCCAAGAUGUAGGCAGACCAGCUUACUUUCACCUCUUGAGCAAGUGAGAGACAUAGGAAGAAAAAGCUUCCUCAAGAUAACAGCAGAAGCUUGAGUACGUGCACUCAGUGGAUCAAAACAUGAAGCUUAGCUGACAGCAUUUCCUUCUCCAUCCACAACACUGGUAUCCUCUGCCUGAUAUUUCCAAGGAGGAACAGUUCUCUGGUGGGAACUUCAAGAGCUCUGAGCAGGGGGAUCACCCCUUUCCUCAGUCUGCCACUGCAGCCCAGCCAGCCUGCACACUGUGGGGCACUGCCCGUGCCCAUUGCUGCCCUGCCCAGACUUGCUGAGGGUGCACUGUGUCCCACUGCCCAGGCCACUGGGAAGGGUGCUCUGUUCCAGGAGCUUCCUCUGAGAAAUGUCACGCAAGACUUGUUGCUAGCCAGGCUGUGAGUUUCUCCUGAGCAUCUCUUGGAGUUUCUCAGCCUACCCUGUGGUUCACAAAGCCUGUCCACAUUUUUAGUUUGUUUGCAAGAGUUCUGCACAUCAAAAACCUUGAAAAUUUCAAGGUAUACUUUACUAUUCUUAAUCUUGACAUUUGUUCUUUUAUACAUUUUUACUUUUAAAAACACCUGAAUACUUAAAAAUGCAAAUUAAGCUUACUUGGGAAAAUAAAAAAUAAAAGCUAGUUCA